rnacentral:rRNA from 1 species
CCUACGGGAGGCAGCAGUGGGGAAUAUUGCACAAUGGGGGCAACCCUGAUGCAGCGACGCCGCGUGAGUGAAGAAGUAAUUCGUUAUGUAAAGCUCUAUCAGCAGGGAAGAAAAUGACGGUACCUGAGUAAGAAGCCACGGUUAACUACGUGCCAGCAGCCGCGGUACUACGGAGGGAGCAGGCGUUAUCCGGAUUUACUGGGUGUUAAGGGGGCGUAGACGGGAGGUCAAGUCUGGAGUUAAAGGCGGGGGCUCAACCCCCGUACUGCUCUGGAAACUGUACGGCUGGAGUGCAGGAGAGGUAAGUGGAAUUCCUGGUGUAGCGGUGAAAUGCGUAGAUAUUAGGCAGAACACCGAUGGCGAAGGCAGCUUACUGGACUGUAACUGACGUUGAGGCUCGAAAGCGUGGGGAGCAAACAGGAUCAGAUACCCGAGUAGUC